GAUGAACGCUGGCGGCGUGCCUAAUACAUGCAAGUCGAGCGAACAGACGAGGAGCUUGCUCCUCUGACGUUAGCGGCGGACGGGUGAGUAACACGUGGAUAACCUACCUAUAAGACUGGGAUAACUUCGGGAAACCGGAGCUAAUACCGGAUAAUAUAUUGAACCGCAUGGUUCAAUAGUGAAAGACGGUUUUGCUGUCACUUAUAGAUGGAUCCGCGCCGCAUUAGCUAGUUGGUAAGGUAACGGCUUACCAAGGCAACGAUGCGUAGCCGACCUGAGGGGGUGAUCGGCCACACUGGAACUGAACCACGGUCCAGACUCCUACGGGAGGCAGCAGUAGGGAAUCUUCCGCAAUGGGCGAAAGCCUGACGGAGCAACGCCGCGUGAGUGAUGAAGGUCUUCGGAUCGUAAAACUCUGUUAUUAGGGAAGAACAAAUGUGUAAGUAACUAUGCACGUCUUGACGGUACCUAAUCAGAAAGCCACGGCUAACUACGUG
rnacentral:rRNA from 1 species